UACGAAGGGGGCUAGCGUUGCUCGGAAUUACUGGGCGUAAAGGGCGCGUAGGCGGCUUGGUCAGUCAGGCGUGAAAUUCCUGGGCUCAACCUGGGGACUGCGCUUGAUACGGCCAGGCUUGAGGCCGAGAGAGGGUGGUGGAAUUCCCAGUGUAGAGGUGAAAUUCGUAGAUAUUGGGAAGAACACCGGUGGCGAAGGCGACCACCUGGCUCGGUACUGACGCUGAGGCGCGACAGCGUGGGGAGCAAAC
rnacentral:rRNA from 1 species